rnacentral:rRNA from 1 species
AUUGAACGCUGGCGGCAGGCCUAACACAUGCAAGUCGAACGGUAACAGGAAGCAGCUUGCUGCUUCGCUGACGAGUGGCGGACGGGUGAGUAAUGUCUGGGAAGCUGCCUGAUGGAGGGGGAUAACUACUGGAAACGGUAGCUAAUACCGCAUAAUGUCGCAAGACCAAAGAGGGGGACCUUCGGGCCUCUUGCCAUCGGAUUUGCCCAGAUGGGAUUAGCUUGUUGGUGGGGUAACGGCUCACCAAGGCGACGAUCCCUAGCUGGUCUGAGAGGAUGACCAGCCACACUGGAACUGAGACACGGUCCAGACUCCUACGGGAGGCAGCAGUGGGGAAUAUUGCACAAUGGGCGCAAGCCUGAUGCAGCCAUGCCGCGUGUAUGAAGAAGGCCUUCGGGUUGUAAAGUACUUUCAGCGGGGAGGAAGGGAGUAAAGUUAAUACCUUUGCUCAUUGACGUUACCCGCAGAAGAAGCACCGGCUAACUCCGUG